UAGUUUGGGCAGCAAAUAUAAUAAAAUUGGAUCAAUCAGGAAAACAUUAGCAUGGCCCCUGGGCAAGGAUGACAUGUAAAUUUUGAGAAGCAUUCCAUAUUUUA